rnacentral:rRNA from 1 species
AGUGGCGCACGGGUGCGUAACGCGUAUGCAACCUACCCUUUACUGGGGGAUAGCCCGGAGAAAUUCGGAUUAAUACCCCAUGGUAUCACAGAUUGGCAUCAUGAAGUGAUUAAAGAUUUAUUGGUAAAGGAUGGGCAUGCGUGACAUUAGAUAGUUGGUGAGGUAAUGGCUCACCAAGUCCACGAUGUCUAGGGGUUCUGAGAGGAUGAUCCCCCACACUGGUACUGAGAUACGGACCAGACUCCUACGGGAGGCAGCAGCGGGGA